CCAAUAGCGUAUAUUAAAGUUGUUGCAGUUAAAAAGCUCGUAGUUGAAUUUCGGGGUCAGCAAGUUGGUCGUGCCACCGGUAUGCACUGGUUUCGCUGAUUCCUCCUUCUUGUAGAACCUUAAUGCCAUUAACUUGGUGUUGCGGGGAAACAGGACUGUUACUUUGAAAAAAUUAGAGUGUUUAAAGCAGGCUAACGCUUGAAUACAUUAGCAUGGAAUAAUGAAAUAGGACGAUCGAUCCUAUUUUGUUGGUUUCUAGGAUUGACGUAAUGAUUAAUAGGGAUAGUUGGGGGCAUUAGUAUUCAAUUGUCAGAGGUGAAAUUCUUGGAUUUAUUGAAGACUAACUACUGCGAAAGCAUUUGCCAAGGAUGUUUUCAUUAAUCAAGAACGAAAGUUAGGGGAUCGAAGACGAUCAGAUACCGUCGUAGUCUUAACCAUAAACUAUGCCGACUAGGGAUCGGAUGAUGUUAAUUUUAUAAUGACUCAUUCGGCGCCUUACG
rnacentral:rRNA from 1 species